rnacentral:tRNA from 1 species
AGCCCCAUCGUCUAGCGGCCUAGGACCCCGCCCUUUCACGGCGGUAGCGCCGGUUCGAAUCCGGUUGGGGGUA